GGGCUUGUGGUUUAGUGGUAUAAUACUCCCUUAGCACCUAUGAGAUGCGACACUGGGAGUGGUCCGGGGUUCGAUUCCCCGCGAGUCCA
rnacentral:tRNA from 1 species